AGAGGAAGUAAAAGUCGUAACAAGGUCUCCGUUGGUGAACCAGCGGAGGGAUCAUUACUGAGUUUACGCUCUACAACCCUUUGUGAACAUACCUAUAACUGUUGCUUCGGCGGGUAGGGUCUCCGCGACCCUCCCGGCCUCCCGCCUCCGGGCGGGUCGGCGCCCGCCGGAGGAUAACCAAACUCUGAUUUAACGACGUUUCUUCUGAGUGGUACAAGCAAAUAAUCAAAACUUUUAACAACGGAUCUCUUGGUUCUGGCAUCGAUGAAGAACGCAGCGAAAUGCGAUAAGUAAUGUGAAUUGCAGAAUUCAGUGAAUCAUCGAAUCUUUGAACGCACAUUGCGCCCGCCAGCACUCUGGCGGGCAUGCCUGUUCGAGCGUCAUUUCAACCCUCAAGCUCUGCUUGGUGUUGGGGCCCUACAGCUGAUGUAGGCCCUCAAAGGUAGUGGCGGACCCUCCCGGAGCCUCCUUUGCGUAGUAACUUUACGUCUCGCACUGGGAUCCGGAGGGACUCUUGCCGUAAAACCCCCAAUUUUCCAAAGGUUGACCUCGGAUCAGGUAGGAAUACCCGCUGAACUUAAGCAUAUCAAUA
rnacentral:rRNA from 1 species